rnacentral:lncRNA from 1 species
CCUGCUGUGUUCCCCCUGUGUUAUCUUUUUCAUUUGGGAUUGGUGUGAUCUGCUGAUUCUUGAAUUUCUCUCCAUCAAAAUCUUCAAUCUUCCAGGAAUCAUUAGCUGAAGAGGAUAUUUCCAGUGAAGACCUUCUGUGCUUCCUCAAUUUCAAGCCCUCUUCACCAACUCUUUCCAGUUCCCGUGCAACUAUUUCAGUGUGAUCCAUGCUCGCCUUUUCAACUUCAUUAAGAGCAACAGAUUUAUGUGUUGAUCUCCUCAUAGGAUUUUUUGACAUCUUUUCCUCAUGAAGACCAUUACUUGGUUCCUUAAGCGGCACUGCAGCAACAGAUCGCUUUGAUCGCUUAAUAGGUUCCUUUACUUUCUGGUGCCUCUAAUCAUCUUUACAUUUAACACUUUGAAAGUUCUCCUUUCUCGCCAAUUUACUAUGAUCUUGGUUCUCCUCAUGAAGCACAUUAGGAAGAACAGACUUCCGUGUUGAUCUCCUAACAUUCAUCUCAGCAUACAUUUGUGCUGCUAGAAGUCCACUAUUCUUCCCAAGCAUAUCAGGUAGAACAGAUUUACGUGAUGAGCGCCUAAUAGGUUGCUUGACAACAAAUUGCUUCUCCACACCUUUGCCCUUAGCAUUUUCAGUUCCUUCGCCAGCAGCUUUAAUAUCUUUAACUGGCAUUACAGGUUUCCGCAUUGAUCUCCCUUCAUGUGCUUCCAUAUUCUUUCCUGUGAUGAGACCCUUCUCUUUCUCAUGCAAUUCUGAGACAACGGAUUUACGUCUCGAUCGCCUGACAGACCCUUUAGUUGCUGGUUGCUUCACCACAUCUUCACUAUUAGUAUUAUGAAUCUUUUCACCAAUAACAUUAAUAUUUUUAACCGGCACAAUUGAUUUCCUCAUUGAUCUCCUACCAUGUGCUUCAGGGUUCUUUUCUUCAACUAGAUCAUUCUCCUCUUUCUCAAGUGUAGCUAGGACAACAGAUUUACGUGUUCAUCGCUUAAUCGGUUCUUUAACUUCUAGCUGCUUCUCCACAACUUCAGAAUGAUUUCGUCUACCUGAUCGCCUCAAUAGGGGAGCCUUAUUGGGAGCAACAAUUUGUUCUUGAUUUUUGUCCUCCAUAGAAGAUGAAACCUGUUGAUGCCUACGAGUAGGUGGCCUACUGGGUUGCGUCUUGUUUUCCAACUGCCUGGCAGUGUGAGUUUCAUCCACCGUACUGUUGUUAACUUGAACAACUCUAUUCCUCAAAGACCUGGUGACAGAAGCAUCAUUUCUAGGCACAUCUGAGACUGUAGGCAGCUCUAAAUUUGCUCGUGCAUCUCCAGUCUUCCUCCUCCUCUUGUUCACAACGACAAUGGGUGACAUUACAACAGGUGCUGUUGCACGAGAUCUUGUAAUCCUAGCUGUUACUUCCACCUGAGCCAAAUUCUACACAUCAGGCUCACUGUCUUGAGCCUCAGCAGCAAGUUUACUACCACCAACAGCUACUUUGCCCCUCCCUCUCUUCUUCUCGACAACAGGAGGCAACACAGCAGCAGGCCCUGCCAAGCUUGACCUUCUUGUCACUCUAGACAAAACUCCAACCUGAGCACCGAUAGCAACAGCCUCAUCAUUCUCCUGGUCCUUGCGCUUGCGCUUCCUAUCAACAGCAACAACCUCUCCUGCUUCCUCAGCCUCGGCAGCAUAUAAGGAGUUCCUCCUGGACCGCCUCACCGGGACAUCUGCGACCACAAACGAAUUCCUCCUGGACUGCCUCACCGGGACAUCUGUGACCACCUCUGCAGAAAUACUAUCUUCAGCAGCAGCAGAAUCAGUACCAGCUUGAGUAGACUUUCCCCUUGUCUUGACAACAAUCGGUAACCAGAUGACCCGAGACCUCAGUCUCCUUGUUUUCCCUUCCUUUGCCGCAAAAGUAACCUUCUUCGCCUCAGCAGCAUCUCGGCCUAUUUGCUUCAGACACCCCUUCCUCGCUGGCACUCUGGCCACCUCCUGCUCCGCACGAGUGGCCCCCUGCAACAACGAGGGGAAUCAACCCAACAACAACAUUAGAAGGAGCAACACCGCCAAACAUUCCCAUAAAAAAACCAAAUCGAAUGAGCGGAGCAUUUCCACAAGCACUUGGCGGCUCGACGAGCAUUUCACUGCCUUACGGGGGUAGCGUGUUCGUGUACUUACCAAGAGCACGGCGUCGAGACGGGCGACGAGGUCGGCGUUGGAGCCCCCGGCGGGGAGGCCAUGCCUCUUGGAGAGCGCCUGGAGCUCCCGCCGCUUCAUCCCCGCGUGAUCCAUCCCUCGCACACCUCCAGCCCGCGGGAGAUCACCACCGCCUGGCCAUCUCUUCCUCUCUGAGUCUCCUGUGGCUCAGAUUCGAAUUGGCCGGCGGCGAGGCGCGACGAACUGCUCUACUAUUUCGGCGGGACGGCGCGGCCGAGAUGGCAUUUUUUUUCUUUUUUGUUUUUUUGGGCUCGCCCCUUUCGGGAGCGGGUUGAAAUGGGCACGCGGCUGGCGGUGGAGGUGGGUGGGCGCGUGGCGGCUCCUCGGGUGGGGGAUCAGACCUAUUUCCAUUUCUGACUGUUCAAUUUCUACAGCUUCAAGCACAUUUCUACGGGUGCUCCAACGAGGACUAGUGGAGAGUGGUGACUCUCCGAUACCUCGGCAAAACAUCGCCGAGCACUUUCUUCCACUACUCCUUUACUUUCUAGCUUUUACUUUGUGUUUUUACAUUCUUAGAAUUGCCUUGCUAGAAUAGGAUUGGAACUAGGUUGCAAAACUUUUAUCCGGUAGCUCUCUAAGUCACACUAGGCACAAGGGGUUGAAUUGGAGCUUAUAGGUUGCUUAAAUUUUUAAAGAAGCCCAAUUCACCCCCCCCUCUUGGGCAUCUUGAUCCUUUCAUACAGCUUCAAGCACAUUGCUAGCAUUGGUUUGGUCUUCAUUAUUUUGAUUGAAUUCCUCAUGAUCCUGAUUGAGCGUUUCAAUAUUACAAGUCACUUGCAUACUGGUGCUUUCAUUCACAUGCUGCUGGCAAGGCCCUGACAUAGGUAAAGCUAGAAUGAGAGAAUACAAAGAAAAUUACAGAUAACUUUGUUGAAGUCUAUGUAUGAGUCAAGAAUAUAUAAGAAUGAAAACAUUAUUACCAACCUGAUCCUGAAAGACUCGCACGCUGAAAUUUUGCAGAUUCUUCAGGAGAUUUAGGUGAAGAAAGGACUUCUGGGACCACCUGUUUCUGGCAAAAGUCUAAAUGGAAGUCUUUGGGCAAUGGGUACAGAUCCCUUUUUGCUGGCCCAGUACAGAAAUUUUCAAUUGUGACUUUAUCACAGCUAAAGCUGAGUUCCUCACUUUCAUCACUCAUCUUAGUGUUAAGCUGCUCAUCAGGUCUUUCUGACAUUCCAGCAACCAAGGGCACCAUCAAUGAACUUCCUAUUCCUUCAAUUGGUGCAUCUUCAGUCAUGUUUUCAACAAGGGCUUUUGGACCGAAUUUACCUUCGUUAGGUUCAUUGCACUCUUUAUGAUCUUGAUGGAGCACUUCGGUACCACAACUGAAUAGUCUGGAGUUUGCUUCAAUUAUAUGCUUCUGGCUUAGAGAAUGACAAAUUCCUAACAAAAGAGUAAUCAUGAGGCCAUACAUAAAUAAAAUCUAUUGCUCCGUCUAGUGCCAAACAAUUGUUGUCUUUGGUUGCAUGCUGUUAACCAAUCCAAACUUCGAUAAUCAAUACCUUUUAACAUUUUGGGUUUCAACACAUAAAAUUUAUUUGAAUAGUUGUCUGAAAGUAGUUUGGAAGUAUAAUGGUUCUUAUAUUUUAUAUGCUUGACAAAUUACAACAUAAACUAGAUGUCAAAAUUCCCUUUAGUGGACCCUGAACUAUGCCAAACAAUACAGAUAUCAACAAAGCAUCUUUCCCUCAGCGAGCAAACAAGUUCAGGCUUACCAUGUUCAUCGGAGUAUGAUUUUUCUUGGACGAUAUCACUAUCUGAAGUAGGCAUAGACUUUCUUUCCACUUUCUCCUCACAAAGCACUUCCACGGCGGCAACAACAUCCCUGUGGUACAGAGAUUGUCUCAUUGCAUGAUCAAAAAGACUAAAGAAGAGACUCCAUAUGGUUCAUAACAUUGGCAGCUUUAGUAAUCCAAAAUAAAAUUACCUUUCAUUAAGAUGGGCACAAUCAGCCAAAUCAAUCUGGACUGAUGUAAGUGAACUUUUCAUGUGGCUAGACCUCAAGAACCGUAGGUAAAACAGUAUCAUUCAGUUAUUUCUAUGUGAGUUAUGAGGAUUAGACAGCAUGAUAUUGCACGACAUGAAGACUUAUAAAUGAGAAGUUUGAUGGCACACAAAUAAAAAUUACCUCCAUUUUCUUUGACUUGCAUGGGAACAGACACGCAACUCUCUUUUUCUUCAUGUCUGCUGAGGUCUUGCAUAUUAGACUUUUCAGUACUUCCCUCUGCGAAAAGAGACUGCAGGUCCAUGACUAAGUGUCUAGGAUCUACGGAGCUAGUUCCAGUAUAAUUCUUCAUUCUGCACACUGCUUCCUCAGACAAAGCACCUUCAUAUUUAUUAUCAGGAGUUGCUAAACUUGAUGAAGGAUUGUCAAUUGCUGAUACAUCAUUUUAAAAAAUACACAUUAACUGAUAACUAAUAAUGUAAGACAUCUUCAGGUUCAUAAACCUCAUGAAGUUACUAACCUGCUACACCAGAAACGAUUGUCUUCUCAAAUAUAAUGCCUUGAAGAGACGAUUCUACUGAGAAGCCAUCUAAAAGCUCUUGUCGUGGGUAAUGAUCCUUAGGAUAACCUUCUGGUAAAGCAGAACCAGAUGGAGUUCUUUCACCAACAACGGCCACAAUAGAUCCAUUCUCUGAAGUAAUACAAACAUCUUUAUCACACUCAAGGCCAGAUACAAUAAUGUUUGGGCUUUCCAGCUUGGGGUUAAGCUGAUCGUCAUUCAAAUUUGACCUCUCUUCAGAUCGGGGCAGCACCAGUCCGCUUUCUAUGCACUUGGCAGUAGCAGCAGCCACGACAAUAUCAUUUCUGCAGGGUUCAGAAGCAACUUGCUCUACCCUAUCCUCAAUGGAUCGAUCUUUAUGAUUGUGACCCUGACGCAGCACUUCAGUAUUGGAACACUCAAUCGGUUCAUCCAAGUGAGACAGAUCGGAGCUAUGGUGUACUUUAACCCAUUGUCCUAAUUUUUCAGCACUUUGUAAUGCAAGGCUGUCAUGAGAAUCAGAUUAUUUUGUGUCCCCCUUCGAGAACAGGGACUGCAGAUCCAUGAUUAAUUCUCUCGGAUUUGAUGAGCAUGUUCCAGCAUAAUUCUUCAUUGUGUGCGCAGCUUCCUCAGACAAAGCACCUUCAUUCUCAAUUGCAUCUGGCACACGAUUGGAACAAAUAAACAUUAGUUCAAAAGCAAUAAUACAAGUAGGAGAUAUAAGCAUCUAAAUAAUACUGACCUACUCUACAAACAAUUUUCUCCCCACACGUUGAGGACCCAUCAAGAGAUGUUUGCAUUGAGAAGCCAUCUAAAACCUCAUGUUUAUACUCCUUGGACGAAUCUUUUUAUACACCAGAACCAGAUGGAGUUAUUUCACCAAUAGAUCCACUAUCGAAAAUGUUACCAAUAUCCUUAUUGAAGUAAAGGCCAGAUUCCACAACUUUUGCUCCCUCCAGCUUGGGGUUAAGUUCUCCAUCUCUUAAAUUUGAUCUUUCUUUACCUCAGAGUAGUACAAUUCCCAUUUCUACGUUCUUGGUAGAGGCAUCAUCAAUAAUAUCUUCUGUGUCAUCACUGCAUUGAUCAUUCUGACCCUGAUGCAGCACAUCAGUAUUGUAACCGAAACAUAUCUCAGAGUUAUCAUUGGCAGGAGAGUGCAGUGCACUGCUCAGUACAGCAUCAGUAAUACCAUAUGCAUUGCCAUCUGCAGUAGGUUAUGUAUAAAAAAUAUAGUCAAAUGUAAAAUAUAUCCAAGCAUGCUUUAAGUCUUGAGAGACCACUAAUUUUCUAUAUAAAAACAAUGGUCUACAACUGUAGAAUCAAUAAAGGAUGUACCUGACCCAUUGACAUUUGUUUUCUCAGAUGAAGCUUUAAAAUCUUCAGAAUGGACUAACUUUUUGCUUCUUUCACCCUCAGAAGCCACUUCCUCGAAAUUAAUGAUCCUACAAAAUUGGUUUCCCAUCUUAAAAUAUUCAACACAUACCAUUUCCCAUAACAUAUGAACUUUUAGUGGUAGCAUGAAAAACAUGCUUACUCCUUUUUGUGCUUUGCAUCCAAUGAAAAGACCGACAGGACCCGUUUUUCAUCAAGGUUAGCCUCUGGUAAUCCUAAAAAAAUGAACAGUUCUUAUGGGUACCUUUUAAAUGGCAGGAAAUACCUUAUUUCCCUACGUUUAGAAGAAUCCAAGGAAAUUAUGGAGGAGCGUAGUAUAGAAGGGAGGGGAAAAGUGUGAUGUCUAUACCUUCCAUUCCAUUAUCUUGCUCGGAUGUUUGCGUACAAUCAUCAUUUUUGGAAAUACCUUCUUCAGUAUCAUCAUGUGAAUAAGGCUCAGACACAUGAGUAUUUUCGAGUGCAGACUUGACAUGGCAAUCUUUUGAAUCAUCAAAUCCAUAGUAUGAGUUGUCGCAGAAUUCAUAGAUUCAUCUAUGUUUUCCUGUGAGAACGAAGACUCCAGGACAAAUGGUGAUUGUUCUUCACUUGAUAGAGAUCUCAUGUUCUUUGGUAGCAAUGAUGUUUCCUCAGGCAAACCACAUUUAUGUUUACAUUCUGGUGUUGUUGAACAUGGUGAAGGUUUCUUGAGGUCACCUGAGACACAUUUAUGUAUUAUUCUCAAACAACACUUAACAAAUAGUACAACAGGAACUGAUACACUCACUAUCCAAAAAAAAGGAAAGAAAGAUACACUCACUAUCCACUUAUCUAGCUAUCAUAGAAAUGGAUGCUUACCUUCUUUCACAUCACCCUGUUGGGCUAGAAUUGUAGCUUGUUCUUCAAGAUUAUCUGCAACAAGCCUUCCGUUCUUUUCAGUAAUGCUACAACCUGAUUCCGUACCAGAACCAGCAAGUUCAUCGUUUAACUUCAUGUUUAGGUUAGUCUUGGCAAGAACAUGCUGAUCAUUACUUUUCUCCUGAGCAAAAUCUUCUAAGAAAGGGGAAAGGAUAGAUUAAAAAAAAGAUAAGUGGCCAAUUAACAUAAGAAACUCUUAUGGAGAAUUAAUACCUUCUUCAACACCUUCAUCAACAUCAAGUUUCUUGUCAGCAUCACAUUCACCCUCACAAGCCACUUCCUCAGGAUUAAUGACCCUACAAAUUGGAUUUCCAAUCUUAAAAUGAUCAAACACAUACCAUUCCUAUAACAUAUGAACUUUUAGUGGUACCAUAAAAAAUAUGCUUACUCUAUGUGCUUUGCAUCCAACGAAAAGACUGACAGCACCCGUUCUUCAUCAAGGUUAGGUUUUCGUAAUCCUAAAAAAACAUACAGUUAUUCUGGGUACCAUUUAAAUGGCAGGAAAAGGUGGAAAACUAUAGAAGAGGGGGACAAAAUGUGAUGUCUAUACCUGCCAUUAUAUGAUCUUUCUAGGAUGUAUGCAUACAAUCAUCAUUUUUGGAAAUACCUCCUUCAGCAUCAUAGUGUGAAAAAGGUUCUGACACAUGAGUAUUUUCGGGUGCAGAUUUGACAUGGCAACCUUUUGAAUCAUCAAAUCCAUUUUCAGUAUGAGCUGCUGCAGAUGCAAGUGCACCAUACCCCACAGAUUUAUCUAUGCUUUCCUGUGAGAACAAAGACUCCAGGACAAAUGGUGAUUCUUCUGCACUUGGUAGAGAUGCCGUGUUCAUUGAGGGCAAUACUGUUUCCUCAGGCAAAUCACAUUCAUGCUUACACUCUGGUGUAGCUGAACAUAGUGAAGGUUUCUCGAGGUCACCUGAGACACAUUUAUACAUUAUUUGCAAACAACACUUAACCCGAUAUUACAACUAGAACUGAUACAACACUAUUCACUUAUCCAGCCAUCAUAAAAUGGAUGCUUACCUUCUUGCCAAUCACCCUAUUGGACCUGAAUUAUAGCCUGUUGAUUAAGAAUAUCUGCAACAAGCCAUCCGUUCUUUUCAGUAAUGCUGCAACCUGAUUCUGUACCAGGACCAGCAAGUUCAUCGUUUAACUUCAUGUUUAGGUCAGUCUUGGCAGGAUCAUGCUGAUCAUUACUUUUCUCGUGAGCUAAAACUUCUGAGAGAGGGCAAAGGAUACAUUAAAAAAAUAUAAGUGACCAAUCAAUAUCAAAAACUCUUUAUGUAGGAUUCAUACCUUCUGCAACACCCUCAUCAACAUCUAGUUUCUUGUCAGCAUCACAUUCAGUAGGUUGCACAUCCUCAUCUUCCAGACAAUCAGAUCGCACAUAGAAACCAGGUGUUACAGGGGAGCUAGUUUUGUUUCCACCAUCCAUUUCUACAGCAGUGUUUUCUGCAUUUCUGGAAUAGCUUUCUUUGCCCCCUCCUGCAAACAUUACUCAAGAUCAAAUGAUGAAGGUCUUCCAUCUGAUGAACAUCCCUUAUCAGCAUUCAGUACUGGAACUGGAAGACUAGUAUCAUCAGCAGCACCUUCCAAGUGCAGACUUGUCGAAAGAGGGUUCCCUAUGCUACACCUGCUGGGACAUUCCUCCAGAUCAGCAGGUCGAAUGCUUUCUUCAGCAACUGCAUUGCAGUGAGUUUCUGGAUUAGUAUAUGAUUAUGAUAUUAGCAGGGCAGCUUCAGAAACUGAUGAAUCAUAUGAUAGCAUUAGAAAAAGACAAAGACCACUGGCCAAAUUUUUUUGCAGUCAGCAGGGCAAUCAUUGUCGAUGAGUUACACAAGAACUAGACGUUGUGCUCACUCAGAAUAAAUAAAUAGAUCAGAUAGUUAUAAGAGAACAAACAAUAAUGAACCAUAGGCCUAGUUGUGUCUACUGUCAACUGAGUUCAAUAUGCACUAGUCAUGUGUCUACUGAAAAACAGAGUUCAUAAUUAUUCAGUUGUUAUCCAUUUUGAUGUUUCAAUUUUGCUCCAUUGGUGAUAGUUAACAUGGUUUUAGCAGUAGCACUAUGCCACUAAUGCAUCUGAACACAUGGCACAAUUCUGCAUAUAUUUUCUAUGCUCCUCGAUAGAGAAAGCCAUAGGCAAAACAUAUGGAGAUUUUGCAAGUUUAAUGUAGUGAAUUGAAAAUCAUGUAACAAGAUCAGUAAGUAGUACAAGAUCUUUAGGAAAAACAGUGAAGAAAUUAUAAGGCAGGUUUUGAAUUUUGACCAUCCAAACAAAUUGAAGAUGCAAGUACCAAUUAGCUGGCACAGGUGAAUUCAGAUGUUUAACAUACAUAUUAUCUUUGAAGUCAGUAAGUAGUUAUGGAUAGAGGAUUAAUCCAGUAGUACCUUUAUUGGUCUCUUCAGCUAUUACGUCAGUAUCAUGUUGCAGACUUUUGGCGUGGAGACCAAUGGACAUGACGUUAGCAAGGUUCUUUUUCCCAAGCUCACUGGAAUUUGCUUCCAAGCCAACUCUCCCUUCUUCGGAUAUAGAGCUUUGCCAUUCAUGAUCUCCAACAAUCAAAUCAAUUGAUAAACCAUCUGGUGAUUUUGCAAUGGCAAAGACUGCCUUUCAGUAUAUAGCAAGACAGUAAUGGGCAAAGCGCCAAAACUAAUUAUGACAUCACAAAAUCAAUAAGGUAGUUAUAUGCCAGCUUUUGAGCAUACAAAGAAGAUCAAUAAAAUAUAAUUGUGAUGAUGAUUGUCUACAACAGAUAAAUUGAACAAUUUGGCAACACAGAAAUAAAUUAACUAGCAUGUCAUUUGCACCCAUGUUAACCUCACCUUUGCUCAUCAAUGAUUUGUCCUCUGAGACAUCAACAUUGUGUACGACUAGUCCAGCGAUACAAGAUGAUUGGUCUAAUUCCCCACUUGUUUCAGAUAAAUGGCUAUUAAUAGCCUGAAUGUCAGAAUGUUCCUGCUUACUCUUAUCUAAACUUUCAUUUGCAUUGUCACCAGAUUCUGACCCAGGUAUCACCACAGGUACACUCUGCGCUGUGAAAAUUUCUUCAGUGAGUGUCACUGUUACAAGCAAUGGUCCUGAAAAGUGCUCUUGUCUUGUGGCAUUAACCUGACCAAAUUCUUGAACUCUGCUACCAGAUUCCUUAUACUCAUGAGUAGCUUUGUGUGCAUCCUUUGUUGGUUCCCUGAUAAUUAUGUCAUCAUUUGCCUCCUUGACAGACUUCACUUCUUCUGAAGUAGUUGUCCGUCUCCUCUUUGAAGACCUUCCCUUUAAAGUUGUAGAAAUUGAUGCCUGCUGUGUUCCCCCUGUGUUAUCUUUUUCAUUUGGGAUUAGUGUGAUCUGCUGCUUCUUGAAUUUCUCUCCAUCAAAAUCUUCAAUCUUCUAGGAAUCAUUAGCUGAAGAGGAUAUUUCCAGUGAAGACCUUCUGUGCUUCCUCAAUUUCAAGCCCUCUUCACCAACUCUUUCUAGUUCCCGUGCAACUAUUUCAGUGUGAUCCAUGCUCACCUUUUCAACUUCAUUAAGAGCAACAGAUUUAAGUGUUGAUCUCCUCAUAGGAUGUUUGACAUCUUUUCCUCAUGAAGACCAUUACUUGGUUCCUCAAGCGGCACUGCAGCAACAGAUCGCUUUGAUCGAUUAAUAG